CACCUGCCGUGUCCUUGUCAGUCUCCUUGCCCGGUGUUAUCGCUACUGGACGGAGAACUGAUAAGGGCAUGUCUUGUG
rnacentral:pre_miRNA from 1 species